GUGGGGAAUAUUGGACAAUGGGGGGAACCCUGAUCCAGCCAUGCCGCGUGUGUGAAGAAGGCCUUUUGGUUGUAAAGCACUUUAAGCGAGGAGGAGGCUACCGAGAUUAAUACUCUUGGAUAGUGGACGUUACUCGCAGAAUAAGCACCGGCUAACUCUGUGCCAGCAGCCGCGGUAAUACAGAGGGUGCAAGCGUUAAUCGGAUUUACUGGGCGUAAAGCGCGCGCAGGUGGCCAAUUAAGUCAAAUGUGAAAUCCACGAGCUUAACUUGGGAAUUGCAUUAGAUACUGGUUGGCUAGAGUAUGGGAGAGGAUGGUAGAAUUCCAGGUGUAGCGGUGAAAUGCGUAGAGAUCUGGAGGAAUACCGAUGGCGAAGGCAGCCAUCUGGCCUAAUACUGACACUGAGGUGCGAAAGCAUGGGGAGCAAACAGGAUUAGAAACCCUUGUAGUCC
rnacentral:rRNA from 1 species